rnacentral:rRNA from 1 species
GAUGAACGCUGGCGGCGUGCCUAAUACAUGCAAGUCGAGCGAACAGACGAGUAGCUUGCUCCUCUGACGUUAGCGGCGGACGGGUGAGUAACACGUGGAUAACCUACCUAUAAGACUGGGAUAACUUCGGGAAACCGGAGCUAAUACCGGAUAAUAUAUUGAACCGCAUGGUUCAAUAGAGAAAGACGGUUUUGCUGUCACUUAUAGAUGGAUCCGCGCCGCAUUAGCUAGUUGGUAAGGUAACGGCUUACCAAGGCAACGAUGCGUAGCCGACCUGAGAGAGUGAUCGGCCACACUGGAACUGAGACACGGUCCAGACUCCUACGGGAGGCAGCAGUAGGGAAUCUUCCGCAAUGGGCGAAAGCCUGACGGAGCAACGCCGCGUGAGUGAUGAAGGUCUUCGGAUCGUAAAACUCUGUUAUUAGGGAAGAACAAAUGUGUAAGUAACUAUGCACGUCUUGACGGUACCUAAUCAGAAAGCCACGGCUAACUACGUG